GGGUCGAACGUGCGGACUUCAAGCUAUAUACCAGUGUUUAAACUGUGUUGAUAGGCCACGUAAAACCGGUGUUUUUUGUUUUUAAUAAAACAGUGGCGUUUACUCCGGGAAGAAACGGUAAAAAACGGCGUUUUCUAUGGAGAGCGCUAGCAAAGACGCUUUGCUUGUGAGUGAAAAAAGAAAAAGAAAAAACACUCCUUCCCUAUUGGUGGAAAAAUGUACCAUGUCGACCAAUCAAAAAAUGAUAUGGCAACAUGUGCAAUUUGGUCGUUUGGGAAGAGGGGGAAGUUUUAGGAGUGACCGGCGAAAGAGAGAGAGAGCGAGUGAGCGAAAGACAGAGAGAGAGUUUUGAUACGUGAGAGAUUUGUGACGUUUGUGUUGUCUUGUGUAGUUAGUGUGUAGUUUUUGUUUUGUGUGUCAGUUCUACUAGUGAAUGUCACAGUUGCUGCAAAAAAGCCACCAAAGGCAGGUUACAGUGUAAACGCUGAGUGACACACCUGCCGUCAAACCUGCAGGUUUAUCCCUGUGCUGUUCUCAUCUGUGUUACAGUGACACAAACUAUUUUUUGGAGUUGCAUAAAUAAUUUGUGUGCCUUCUUAUUUGACGCAGAGCACCUGAUUGUUCUGUAAAUAGUUUUAAAUGGUUAUAUAAAAAACGUCUGAGCCUUGGCUGCAUUUUUCUUUUAGGUAAAUAGUACCAUAUAACUUUGUUGUUUGCAAAACUUGUGCAUAUUUUUAAAAAAAUGUACAUGUAAAUUAGAUUUUAAGUAGAUGUUUGUGCAUUCUUAAAGUCUUAUAUGUUGAAUUGAACUAUGUGAUCUGUUCAAAGCCUCUCAGUCAGUGCUGUUCUCCAUGCCUGUCUGACAUGAUGUUAUUAGCACAAACACUUUAAAGGUGAUCAUUUAGGACUUCAGCAAUAAUACAGACAGCAAUGUAGUUAGCAAUAAAACAGUUUUAUUGGGAAUUAACUUAAAAAACAAACAAACAAACAUCUAUUUUUUGUCACACAGGAAAGAAGCAUCAAUAUCUGAUGAGAAGACUUAUUUCUGUUUUGUUUUGUUGUUGUUGUUUUUUUUCAACAGGAGAAGAAUAUCUAACAAGUUGAUUUGUUCACAUUUUCACAUCUUAAUUUUUAAGUGAAAUGUGCAUUUUGAGUUUAUACACUAUGUAUAUAAGGCGGCCGUUUCCUUUUGCAGUAUUUUUAUGUGGGGUAUUUUUCUGUGUCUUAACAAAAGGGGAGCAAAGGUGUCUUUUCACAUGGUCUUACUGAGGUGAUGCGAAUUGAAACAUGCAUUCUUUUCUUUCUUUUUUUUUUUUGGCGGGCGGGGGGGGGGCUGGAAAAGCUUGAAAAGGGACCUUGAAAGUGCUUAAAAAGUGCUUGAAUUUGACCCUGAAAAAGGCGUACGAACCCUGUAAAAACUUGGUCUGGAUCUUUGGAAGAAAAAUAUAAAUGGUAAAGGGACUGGUUCUGUUGCUUUUCUGAUCUACUUGAGCAUUCAAAGCCCUUUAUGUAAAUGCCACAUUCACCCGUUCACACCCAUUCAUUCAAGCACUGUUUUCUGCACCUAUCUAUCUAACAGUCUCACAAAUUCAUACACUGAUGAAUGCAAUGGAGAGCGACUUGAAGUGUAGUAUCUUGCCUAAAAUCACGUAGGCAUGCAGACUGGACACUGGAGCAGCCAGGGAUCCAACCACCAAUCUCCUGGUUGGUAGAUGACCUGCUCUGCCCCCUGAGCUACAGCCAUCCCAAAAUAAAGAAAUAAGUGGUGGCUCAAGACUUUUCCACAGCAUUGUAUUGAACCACAGGGGUCCACAGUGGAGAUGGGCAAAAGAGCCACAGGUUCAAGACCCCUGAGGCAGACAAUCAUUUGCACCACCACACCUUCCCAACAUUUGAACGUAGUGUCCAAUAUUGCCACAGCAUGUGUAUGGCAGCACCAAAGCAGCUCCGAGAUGCCAGUGACUGUGGCAAACCAGCAUAUCUGACAACCUGGGAGAGAGAACAGCUGGCUUUUAGUGGAGAAGACGAGGCUUAAAGAGGCACGGACUAAAAAGGCUUUUUUCAGACAGAUGAUGAACCGAGGGGCUUUUUUGCCAUGAAUAAAAUUACAAAGCUCUUGUGGAGUCCUGGAAUAUAAAUAAAGGGCAGAAUUGAGCAUAAUGAGCCCCCCCUUAAGUUAACAACUGCUGCUAGGUUUUUUUUUUGGUACCUACUGAUUUCCUCUUGCAUUUUAUGUAGAUUGUGUAGAAGUGCCUUGCAAUUCUAGGCAAAAAGCUUUCAGGGAAUCAUUUCUGUGACCCGAAAUGCACAAAAAAUGAACAUAGUCAAAUUUUACAUUAGAAAGUUUAAAGUCUUGCCUGAAAAACUUCACUUUAGUAUUGCAUCACUGCUUUCAUUUGCAAUGACUUUCAGGGGGUAAAGCCAAUCAUCCUGCUGCAGCAGAAAUAAGAGUCAUACUUGACGUGUUUCUGGAGCCUGUUUUAAAUGUACAGUACUUAGAGCUGGGCGAUAGAACGAUAACGAUAUGUAUUGCGAAAUAACUUUUUCUUGAUAGAAAAAUUAAACUAUUGCGAUAGACCUCAUCUCUCUUGUCCUCUUAAAAAAAAAAAAAAGAACAGCCAAUCCAAAUUAAGUAGCGGAGAGCCGAACCAAUCACAGCCGCAGCGUCACAUAACGUGACUUGUUACAUACAGCACAAGCGCCAAGGCGCACAUGUGUAUUUGUUUUUGCAGCCGUGCAGCCCGGGUAAUGAAGGAAAUGAGUUUGCCGACUAGAGAAAAAUCAACCGAGAGCGUGAGCGAAGGUUACCGAAGAAAAAACAGAUGAUGGUUCCAAUGCCGGAGAGCUUGUCGAACAGAAGGGCCACAGAAGUUCCGUAGUGUGAAGGUAUUUCAGCUAUUUCAAGUCUGACAAAAAACAGAGUAGUGCGCACUGUAAAUUGUGCCGAAAGCAAGUCUGGAAAUACAAUAAAGCGGUGCAUGCUCAAUCUCUGACUGAAAGCGCUAAUUCGUCAUUCG
ensembl:lncRNA